rnacentral:lncRNA from 12 species
AAAAAAAAAAAGAGGAGUCAAAAAGACAUCCAACCUGGAGUGUAGCUGGAAGUGCGCCCUUGCCAGUGCUCUUCCAUGUGAAAGCAGUGUUCUGCCUGCCACAAGGAAUCCAUUCAUACUUGAGCUGACAGAAGCAGCAGCAUGCUGAAAUGGAAGAAGGCAAACAAGCCUUUUCCAGCCAGAUCCUGGGCUGCCUUAUGAGUGUUGCCAGCGGGCUGAGGAAGGCAAUCCUUCCCCCCUGUGAGGUCACACACAGAGUGCUGUGUCCAGUUUUGGGCUGCCCAGUAGAACAGAGACAUGGUCCAGCUGGAGGGAGGGAACAAAAAGUUUGUUGGCUCGAUUGGGUUGGACCAGAAGCUGCCCUUUUUUGUAAAGUGGAGCAGCAUGCAAGUUUGGAUGGGAGUGCAGGAAAUUGGUUGCCUUAUUGGGCUCCUGGUGACAUGCUCUCACAAAUUUGGAUCAGAGCCUAGAAAACCAGCUUUUCCUGAAGUGUGGACAACAUUCUGUGUUUCAGGAGUGCUCCUGGAAAGGUUCUGCACAGGCUCUGAGUUGCUGGGGAUGUGUUCUCAUGUAAGACCAGAAACAGGCAGCACAGUCCUGGAGUCACCUGGCCUGGAUCCUCUUUGAGCUUGGUAAAUGUCCUACUUGAGUGAUGGGAUACUGCAAAAUACAGCAUCACAGACAGUCCUUGUGGGCCAUGAUUAUAUGAGCACCUGCACUGUUUAAUAUUGAUGCCUAUAUGUCAGCUUCUCACCACAGGCUCCUUUUGUACUCAGCAGACAAACCAGGAAUUUUUCAGUCAGCCGCAGCAGAUCAGAUGAAUUACCUGUGAGUGUUGUUUCUUUCUUGGCAUGAACCUUAAAGAAGAGCCUGGCCCAAAUGGCUAAGAUACAUAUGUUUGGUCAGAUGAUUCUAUUUCUGGUAGGUCCUGAUAGGUGUAGGUGCUGAACUGGGAAUCAGUCACUACCAUCUACUCACUGUCACUAAUCAUCCAGAUGUAUCUGGCUCCCUUGGUUUUGGGGGCUUAGUUGAGCAGUCUUACUCCCCCAACAUCCUGAACUCCCCUCAGAAUACCAAAUUCAUUCUUCUCUUGGGCCUCAAAUCCAUUUUUGUGUUAGUCAAAA